rnacentral:rRNA from 1 species
GACGAACGCUGGCGGCGUGCCUAAUACAUGCCAGUCGAACGCAUUUUCUUUCACCGUAGCUUGCUACACCGAAAGAAAAUGAGUGGCGAACGGGUGAGUAACACGUGGGUAACCUGCCCAUCAGCGGGGGAUAACACUUGGAAACAGGUGCUAAUACCGCAUAAUUCCAUUUACUGCAUGGUAGAUGGAUGAAAGGCGCUUUUGCGUCACUGAUGGAUGGACCCGCGGUGCAUUAGCUAGUUGGUGGGGUAACGGCCUACCAAGGCUGCGAUGCAUAGCCGACCUGAGAGGGUGAUCGGCCACACUGGGACUGAGACACGGCCCAGACCCCUACGGGAGGCAGCAGUAGGGAAUCUUCGGCAAUGGACGCAAGUCUGACCGAGCAACGCCGCGUGAGUGAAGAAGGUUUUCGGAUCGUAAAACUCUGUUGUUAGAAAAGAACAAGGAUGAGAGUGGAAAGUUCAUCCCUUGACGGUAUCUAACCAGAAAGCCACGGCUAACUACGUG